CCCAACGUUGUUCCUCAAGUUUUUUUUUGCCUGGUCUGUAUCAAAAGACAGAAUCUUGAUGACUAAGACAUUUUCUUUGGUACCUACAAGAAGGAUCCAGCUCUCUACUUCUAUCAACUCCUGGAUGACUACAAGAAAGGGAACCUCCACAUCAUUCCAGAAACUCCUCUGGCUGAGGAGAGAUCAGGAGAUGACAGUGAUGUGUUGAUAGGUUUGAAGUCUCCAGAGCAGCAAAGAGAGUGGGGAGUAGAACUCA
rnacentral:lncRNA from 1 species